rnacentral:siRNA from 1 species
GUCCUAUGUAAAUAUAUGGUC